rnacentral:rRNA from 1 species
AUUGCCUCAGUAACGGCGAGUGAAGCGGCAAGAGCUCAAAUUUGAAAGCUGGCCCCUCCGGGGUCCGCGUUGUAAUUUGCAGAGGAUGCUUCGGGUGCGGCCCCUGUCUAAGUGCCCUGGAACGGGCCAUCGGAGAGGGUGAAAAUCCCGUCUGGGAUGGGGUGUCCGCGCCCGUGUGAAGCUCCUUCGACGAGUCGAGUUGUUUGGGAAUGCAGCUCUAAAUGGGUGGUAAAUUUCAUCUAAAGCUAAAUACUGGCCGGAGACCGAUAGCGCACAAGUAGAGUGAUCGAAAGAUGAAAAGCACUUUGAAAAGAGAGUUAAAUAGCACGUGAAAUUGUUGAAAGGGAAGCGCUUGCGACCAGACUCGCUCGCGGGGUUCAGCCGGGAUUCGUCCCGGUGCACUUCCCCGCGGGCGGGCCAGCGUCGGUUUGGGCGGCCGUUCAAAGGCCCCGGGAAUGUAGCGCCCUUCGGGGCGCCUUAUAGCCCGGGGUGCAAUGCGGCCAGCCCGGACCGAGGAACGCGCUUCGGCACGGACGCUGGCAUAAUGGUCGCAAACGACCCGUCUUGAAACACGGACCAAGGAGUCUAACAUCUACGCGAGUGUUCGGGUGUCAAACCCGUGCGCGCAGUGAAAGCGAACGGAGGUGGGAGCCCCCUGAGGGGCGCACCAUCGACCGAUCCUGAUGUCUUCGGAUGGAUUUGAGUAGGAGCGUAGCUGUGGGGACCCGAAAGAUGGUGAACUAUGCCUGAAUAGGGCGAAGCCAGAGGAAACUCUGGUGGAGGCUCGCAGCGGUUCUGACGUGCAAAUCGAUCGUCAAAUUUGGGUAUAGGGGCGAAAGACUAAU